rnacentral:ncRNA from 2 species
GGGGAAGCGGGGUGAAAUGCCCCCACGAGCCCGUCACUGUAAGCGCGGACAACCUUGCAGAAAGCCACUGGUACUUUGAAUACCGGGAAGGCGCAGGGAAGGCUGAAACGCAAGUCAGGAUAUCC